GGAUCGGAGUCUGCAACCCGACUCCGUGAAGCUGGAUUCGCUAGUAAUCGCGCAUCAGCCAUGGCGCGGUGAAUACGUUCCCGGGCCUUGUACACACCGCCCGUCAAGCCAUGGGAGCCGGGGGUGCUUGAAGUGCGUCGCCGCAAGGCGCGCCCUAGAGCAAAACCGGUGACUGGGGCUAAGUCGUAACAAGGUAAC
rnacentral:rRNA from 1 species